GACGAACGCUGGCGGCGUGCUUAACACAUGCAAGUCGAACGGAAAGGCCCUGCUUUUGUGGGGUGCUCGAGUGGCGAACGGGUGAGUAACACGUGAGUAACCUGCCCUUGACUUUGGGAUAACUUCAGGAAACUGGGGCUAAUACCGGAUAGGAGCUCCUGCUGCAUGGUGGGGGUUGGAAAGUUUCGGCGGUUGGGGAUGGACUCGCGGCUUAUCAGCUUGUUGGUGGGGUAGUGGCUUACCAAGGCUUUGACGGGUAGCCGGCCUGAGAGGGUGACCGGCCACAUUGGGACUGAGAUACGGCCCAGACUCCUACGGGAGGCAGCAGUGGGGAAUAUUGCACAAUGGGCGGAAGCCUGAUGCAGCAACGCCGCGUGCGGGAUGACGGCCUUCGGGUUGUAAACCGCUUUCGCCUGCGACGAAGCGUGAGUGACGAUAAUGGGUAAAGAAGCACCGGCUAACUACGUG
rnacentral:rRNA from 1 species